rnacentral:rRNA from 1 species
AUUGAACGCUGGCGGCAUGCUUUACACAUGCAAGUCGAACGGUAACAGGUUAAGCUGACGAGUGGCGAACGGGUGAGUAAUGCAUCGGAACGUGCCCAGUCGUGGGGGAUAACGCAGCGAAAGCUGUGCUAAUACCGCAUACGAUCUAUGGAUGAAAGCGGGGGACCGUAAGGCCUCGCGCGAUUGGAGCGGCCGAUGUCAGAUUAGCUAGUUGGUGGGUAAAGGCCCACCAAGGCGACGAUCUGUAGCUGGUCUGAGAGGACGACCAGCCACACUGGAACUGAGACACGGUCCAGACUCCUACGGGAGGCAGCAGUGGGGAAUUUUGGACAAUGGGCGCAAGCCUGAUCCAGCAAUGCCGCGUGCAGGAAGAAGGCC